rnacentral:rRNA from 1 species
GUAGGUGGCAAGCGUUGUCCGGAAUUAUUGGGCGUAAAGCGCGCGCAGGCGGUCCUUUAAGUCUGAUGUGAAAGCCCACGGCUCAACCGUGGAGGGUCAUUGGAAACUGGGGGACUUGAGUACAGAAGAGGAAAGCGGAAUUCCAAGUGUAGCGGUGAAAUGCGUAGAGAUUGGAGGAACACCAGUGGCGAAGGCGGCUUUCUGGUCUGUAACUGACGCUGAGGCGCGAAAGCGUGGGGAGCAAACAGGAUUAGAUACCCUGGUAGUCCACGCCGUAAACGAUGAGUGCUAAGUGUUAGGGGGUUUCCCGCCCCUUAGUGCUGCAGCUAACGCAUUAAGCACUCCGCCUGUGGAGUACGGCCGCAAGGCUG